CUGUCAGUUUCUCUGUGUAGUUCGUGGUGUGUUCAAGUGUUCAGUCUAAAGAAGUGGGAAGUUGACUGUCAGUUCUGGAAACUUUUAUAAAUUGGAGCCAUGAGUCUUAGAAACCUAUUUAUACUAAAAGAAGUGUAAUUCGAUGUGACGGCUCUGUUCUGAAUGCCGUACUGAAGAGGUUUGAUAACUAUUCCAGGAACUUUGAACUCUGGCCAUGAAGGAUCAUUCUUCAGAAUUUCCACUACUUUGAAUUUGUGACAACUUCUAAAGGCUCGUGUGCCUCGUGCUGACGUAGAUUUUGUCGUCAUCUUGCAACUGAUCUACUUCCAAUAAGUUUCUCUGGACUUUCAUUCACUAUAUACUGUCCUUGAGGCAUAAGAACUUCUCGUGUGGAAAUUUUAGUUAAGCAUUUGCACUGAAUACUGCAACUUCAGUUAAAAAUGUCUAACAAUUUUUUUUUCUUUACAAACUUUGGUUUAUAGUAAACCAGUAUUACUUGUAUUGGUUAGCAUCGUAUGAGUGUGUUAUUUUAAAUCUGGUUUCUCAUAGAUUUUUUAUUUCUUAGCAUACUAUGUGUAUCUCAUUUGCUAAAGUUUUUAAAUUUGUGCUUUUGAAAACCACAGACUUUGUCAAACCAGAAUUUUUCAAAGAAUUUUGGCGUGGAAAAUGCGGUUUUAAACUUAAAAUAUUCUCCAUAGUAAAAUUCAAGUUUGAAUAUGUAAUUAUGUAUUCUAUUUUCUGGUUCUGACUGGAGAUUGUCGCAGAUUGACUGGAGAUUGACUGUUGUAUUUUCUAUGUAAAGAAUUUUAUAAAUUAAUAACUAAAUACUUUCUAACCAAUCGUUUAGUCGAGUUAUUUUAUUGGCACUUACUACAUUACCUGAAGAUUUAAUAAAACUUUUGUUCAGUUUCAUUAAUGAAGUGUGAAAAAUAUCUAAACUAGUAUUGAGGAGAGAAUUAAGACUGCCUAUUUUAAGUACCAGUAUUCUAAAUAGUUCAGAGGGAAUGUAUUAAAGGAAAUAGUCUGUCAAAAGGCAGUAAGCCAAAAAAUCUAUACCUAUGCAGAAAUUGAUGGAGGUCUAGAUAAGACCAGAAGUUUAUCUCGGAAGUAUUUUGAAAUAAUGUUAGGGUUAUUAACAGUUAACAUUUGAAGCUAGGCAGUCCUAGUUAGUAGUACCUUGCCUUGCGGGUGACAGAUAAACCUUUUCACUUUUAGUCGAAAACUACAGUAAUGUAUGAAAGAUGAUUGUAAAUAUAAGAGCUGGUGAAAAUAGAUACGCUAAUUUACUGUUAUGUUUUUAGCCUUAAGUUUCACUGUUCUAACAAUUUUUUAAUCACUAGCUUGUCACUGGUCUAGUUGGUCUUCAUGAACGUAUCUGUGUAUGCUAAGUGUUUGAAUUUGUGGAAAGCCAUGUUAUGGUAUACUUCCUUCUAAAACUUAGUGUGCCAAUGCUGUUAUUGAGGCUGAUGCAAAUGAUCCCAUUUAAAUGAAGACUAGAAGGGACGUGGAUUGCCAGGGACUGUUAAUAAAGAUGUCUAACGUUUUUUCUAGAUAAAUUGGUGUUGUCUCGAGGAAAACCUCUCCCGUGGAAUUCUUCCUUUAAACUGAACCAGAAAAAAAUUCUAUUGAAUGUAUCUCCAAAAGGAAAAUUUCGAUUAGAAUUUAAAGGCGACGCAACGUUUACUGCGAAUCCCAGCUUUUGAGACUUGGAAACUAGAGAAAAUAUCAGUCUUCUCUACGUCAUUUGCUAAUUUUUGUAUCGAAAUGACUGUAUUCCUUAUAGAAAUCUAUCUUUAAUGCAUUCAUUCUUUUAAAGGUCGUUCGUCCUUUGCCCUUAAUUAAAUGUUAAACCCU